rnacentral:rRNA from 1 species
GACGAACGCUGGCGGCGUGCUUAACACAUGCAAGUCGAACGAAGAGCGAUGGAAGCUUGCUUCUAUCAAUCUUAGUGGCGAACGGGUGAGUAACGCGUAAUCAACCUGCCCUUCAGAGGGGGACAACAGUUGGAAACGACUGCUAAUACCGCAUACGAUCUAAUCUCGGCAUCGAGGAUAGAUGAAAGGUGGCCUCUACAUGUAAGCUAUCACUGAAGGAGGGGAUUGCGUCUGAUUAGCUAGUUGGAGGGGUAACGGCCCACCAAGGCGAUGAUCAGUAGCCGGUCUGAGAGGAUGAACGGCCACAUUGGGACUGAGACACGGCCCAGACUCCUACGGGAGGCAGCAGUGGGGAAUCUUCCGCAAUGGACGAAAGUCUGACGGAGCAACGCCGCGUGAGUGGUGACGGCCUUCGGGUUGUAAAGCUCUGUUAAUCGGGACGAAAGGCCUUCUUGCGAAUAGUGAGAAGGAUUGACGGUACCGGAAGAGAAAGCCACGGCUAACUACGUG